UACGUAGGGAGCAAGCGUUGUCCGGAAUCAUUGGGCGUAAAGCGCACGUAGGCGGUUUGUUAAGUCGGAUGUGAAAUCCCUCGGCUCAACUGAGGAAGUGCAUCCGAAACUGGCAAGCUUGAGUACGAAAGAGGGUCGCGGAAUUCCUGGUGUAGCGGUGAAAUGCGCAGAUAUCAGGAGGAACACCGGUGGCGAAGGCGGGUCUCUGGGCAGUAACUGACGCUGAGGAGCGAAAGCGUGGGGAGCGAACAGG
rnacentral:rRNA from 1 species